UGGGGAAUAUUGCGCAAUGGGCGGAAGCCUGACGCAGCAACGCCGCGUGGGGGAUGAAGGCCUUCGGGUUGUAAACCUCUUUCAGCGCGGAAGAAGCGUGAGUGACGGUAGGCGCAGAAGAAGCACCGGCUAACUACGUGCCAGCAGCCGCGGUAAUACGUAGGGUGCAAGCGUUGUCCGGAAUUAUUGGGCGUAAAGAGCUCGUAGGCGGUUUGUAGCGUCGGGGGUGAAAACUCGGGGCUUAACUCCGGGCUUGCAGUGGGUACGGGCAGACUGGAGUGCGGUAGGGGAGACUGGAAUUCCUGGUGUAGCGGUGAAAUGCGCAGAUAUCAGGAGGAACACCGGUGGCGAAGGCGGGUCUCUGGGCCGUAACUGACGCUGAGGAGCGAAAGCGUGGGGAGCGAACA
rnacentral:rRNA from 1 species